rnacentral:lncRNA from 1 species
CCUUGUUUAGUUGGCAAAAUUGGGAGGUGCCAAAUUACUAUUACAGCACUGUAGCACACUGUAGCGUUUCGUUUGUAUUUGUGAAUUAUUAUCCAAAUAUUGACUAAUUAGGCUCAAAAGAUUCGUCUCGCAAAGUACAACAAAACUGUGCAAUUAAUUUUUAAUUUCGUCUACAUUUAGUACUCCAUGCAUGUACCGCAAGUUUGAUGUAAUGGGGAAUCUUCUUUUUGCAUAGUGUCAAAGUUGGGAGUUGGG